rnacentral:lncRNA from 1 species
UUUUUUAUUUUAUUUUAUUUCAACUAUUAAAGAUAAAGCAAUCUGAAUAAAACAAGAUCUUUCACUUUGUUUAUUGCUUUUAUAUGAUAUCAAAAUGAACAAUACUUGAAUUUUUUGUGUGUUUGUGUCUUUUAUAGUUGAGAACAUAUGCAUGCAUGUCUAUGUGAUAAACGAGUCAGUAGGAAUGCUCUUUUGUAUUAAAGGACUACUUUUCUUUCAAUGAUCAAAAAGAUCAGGAUUCUUGUCUAGUAAUGGUUAUUUUGUAUUAGUAUUUUGUAUAAAUAAUAUUUUGUAUACCUUGUUGAUUUAUUGUUAUCAGAGGAUAUGUAUUAGGAGUGUGUCUUUAUCAUUAUAUGUGUAUCCUGCAUGACAACUUUACCUUAAGGUGCUGCUAAAGCAACAGGUAUAGUUUGAUAAAAGGAUAAUUCAAAUUCAGCCAAUCAAAAUCUUAGUUUUACUCAUUAUAACAUUCCUUUAUUCAUUUAUUUGUGGAUUGAGGACGCUUUUGUGGAUAUUUGAUUCCACAGCUUUGUCAAAGUCUUCAUACAAUAUUGCAAGCCUAUAGAAAAUAAGUUAUUCUUUGUAUUGUCAAAUUCAUGGUUCACCUGUACCAAUGAAAUUUAUGAAAAUCAGAUACCCCUCAAAUAAUGAUAAAUCCAAAGUCUGGAUUUUUCCAGAAAAUUACAAUUUUUGAAUUCAAUGACCAAAUGAUGGUAAUAAAAAUGUUUGCUGCAUAAACCACUAGUGUUGAUUGUUUGAGAAAUGUCGGAAACAAAUGAUAUUUUUAUACCUUUUGUAUUAUUUUGCUAUAUUUAAGAUCACCCUUAGUUCUGUGAGAUCUGAUUGUUUCAGGUGUAUGACUAUAAUUCACAUAAUUAUCAUUUCACUGUCUCAAAACCAGUGAUUUUGUCAUUUUACUGCAUGUAGUUAUGUUACAUUGUAUUUUGAAUGUUCUAUAAUUUAAUCAUGAACAAGUUAAUAGAUUAUAACUCCAAAUUUGAACAUUGCUUAAUAAUUAUGUAAACAUGACAAAAUU